CCCCAGCGCGCUAAAUGCAGUCGACGAAGUGCAAUACUUAGUGGCAGACGGGUGAGUAACAUGUAGGUAUCUGCCCUUUGGCCUGGAAUAACACGAGGAAACUUGUGCUAAUACUGGAUAAGUCUUUACGGAGAAAGCUUUAUGCACCAUUGGAUGAGCCUGCACUUGAUUAGUUUGUUGGUGGGGUAAUGGCCUACCAAGACUGUGAUCAAUAGCUGAUUUGAGAGGAUGAUCAGCCACAUUGGGACUGAGACACGGCCCAAACUCCUACGGGAGGCAGCAGUGGGGAAUCUUGCACAAUGGAGGAAACUCUGAUGCAGCGAUGCCGCGUGAGUGAAGAAGGCCCUUGGGUUGUAAAGCUCUUUCGUCGGGGAAGAAAAUGACUGUACCCGAAUAAGAAGGUCCGGCUAACUUCGUGCCAGCAGCCGCGGUAAUACGAAGGGACCUAGCGUAGUUCGGAAUUACUGGGCUUAAAGAGUUCGUAGGUGGUUGAAAAAGUUGGUGGUGAAAUCCCAGAGCUUAACUCUGGAACUGCCAUCAAAACUUUUCAGCUAGAGUAUGAUAGAGGAAAGCAGAAUUUCUAGUGUAGAGGUGAAAUUCGUAGAUAUUAGAAAGAAUACCAAUUGCGAAGGCAGCUUUCUGGAUCAUUACUGACACUGAGGAACGAAAGCAUGGGUAGCGAAGAGGAUUAGAUACCCUCGUAGUCCAUGCCGUANACGAUGUGUGUUAGACGUUGGAAAUUUAUUUUCAGUGUCGCAGCGGAAGCGAUAAACACACCGCCUGGGGAGUACGACCCGCAGGUUAAAACUCAAAUGAAUUGACGGGGACCCGCACAAGUAGUGGAGCAU
rnacentral:rRNA from 1 species